rnacentral:rRNA from 1 species
GGGUUGUGAGGUUAAGCGACUAAGCGUACACGGUGGAUGCCCUGGCAGUCAGAGGCGAUGAAGGACGUGCUAAUCUGCGAAAAGCGUCGGUAAGGUGAUAUGAACCGUUAUAGCCGGCGAUGUCCGAAUGGGGAAACCCAGUGCAAUUCGUUGCACUAUCGUUAACUGAAUACAUAGGUUAACGAGGCGAACCGGGGGAACUGAAACAUCUAAGUACCCCGAGGAAAAGAAAUCAACCGAGAUUCCCCCAGUAGCGGCGAGCGAACGGGGAGCAGCCCGGAGUCUGAAUCAGCUUGUGUGUUAGUGGAAGCGUCUGGAAAGUCGCAGGGUACAGGGUGAUACUCCCGUACACUAAAACACACAGGUUGUGAACUCGAAGAGUAGGGCGGGACACGUGGUAUCCUGUCUGAAUAUGGGGGGACCAUCCUCCAAGGCUAAAUACUCCUGACUGACCGAUAGUGAACCAGUACCGUGAGGGAAAGGCGAAAAGAACCCCGGCGAGGGGAGUGAAAAAGAACCUGAAACCGUGUACGUACAAGCAGUAGGAGCCCACUUGUUGGGUGACUGCGUACCUUUUGUAUAAUGGGUCAGCGACUUAUAUUCUGUAGCAAGGUUAACCGUAUAGGGGAGCCGCAGGGAAACCGAGUCUUAACUGGGCGUUAAGUUGCAGGGUAUAGACCCGAAACCCGGUGAUCUAGCCAUGGGCAGGUUGAAGGUUGGGUAACACUAACUGGAGGACCGAACCGACUAAUGUUGAAAAAUUAGCGGAUGACUUGUGGCUGGGGGUGAAAGGCCAAUCAAACCGGGAGAUAGCUGGUUCUCCCCGAAAGCUAUUUAGGUAGCGCCUCGUGAACUCAUCUUCGGGGGUAGAGCACUGUUUCGGCUAGGGGGUCAUCCCGACUUACCAACCCGAUGCAAACUACGAAUACCGAAGAAUGUUAUCACGGGAGACACACGGCGGGUGCUAACGUCCGUCGUGAAGAGGGAAACAACCCAGACCGCCAGCUAAGGUCCCAAAGUCAUGGUUAAGUGGGAAACGAUGUGGGAAGGCCCAGACAGCCAGGAUGUUGGCUUAGAAGCAGCCAUCAUUUAAAGAAAGCGUAAUAGCUCACUGGUCGAGUCGGCCUGCGCGGAAGAUGUAACGGGGCUAAACCAUGCACCGAAGCUGCGGCAGCGACGCUUAUGCGUUGUUGGGUAGGGGAGCGUUCUGUAAGCCGUUGAAGGUGGCCUGUGAGGGUUGCUGGAGGUAUCAGAAGUGCGAAUGCUGACAUAAGUAACGAUAAUGCGGGUGAAAAACCCGCACGCCGGAAGACCAAGGGUUCCUGUCCAACGUUAAUCGGGGCAGGGUGAGUCGACCCCUAAGGCGAGGCCGAAAGGCGUAGUCGAUGGGAAACAGGUUAAUAUUCCUGUACUCGGUGUUACUGCGAAGGGGGGACGGAGAAGGCUAUGUUGGCCGGGCGACGGUUGUCCCGGUUUAAGCAUGUAGGCGGAUGUUCCAGGUAAAUCCGGAACGUUACUAACGCUGAGGUGUGAUGACGAGGCACUACGGUGCUGAAGUGACAAAUGCCCUGCUUCCAGGAAAAGCCUCUAAGCAUCAGGUAACAUCAAAUCGUACCCCAAACCGACACAGGUGGUCAGGUAGAGAAUACCAAGGCGCUUGAGAGAACUCGGGUGAAGGAACUAGGCAAAAUGGUGCCGUAACUUCGGGAGAAGGCACGCUGAUGGUAGGUGAAGUGACUUGCUCAUGGAGCUGAAAUCAGUCGAAGAUACCAGCUGGCUGCAACUGUUUAUUAAAAACACAGCACUGUGCAAACACGAAAGUGGACGUAUACGGUGUGACGCCUGCCCGGUGCCGGAAGGUUAAUUGAUGGGGUUAUCCGUAAGGAGAAGCUCUUGAUCGAAGCCCCGGUAAACGGCGGCCGUAACUAUAACGGUCCUAAGGUAGCGAAAUUCCUUGUCGGGUAAGUUCCGACCUGCACGAAUGGCGUAAUGAUGGCCAGGCUGUCUCCACCCGAGACUCAGUGAAAUUGAACUCGCUGUGAAGAUGCAGUGUACCCGCGGCAAGACGGAAAGACCCCGUGAACCUUUACUAUAGCUUGACACUGAACACUGGUCCUUGAUGUGUAGGAUAGGUGGGAGGCUUUGAAGUGUGGACGCCAGUCUGCAUGGAGCCAUCCUUGAAAUACCACCCUUUAAUGGCUGGUGUUCUAACGUGGGCCCGUAAUCCGGGUUGCGGACAGUGUCUGGUGGGUAGUUUGACUGGGGCGGUCUCCUCCUAAAGAGUAACGGAGGAGCACGAAGGUCAGCUAAUCCUGGUCGGACAUCAGGAGGUUAGUGCAAUGGCAUAAGCUGGCUUGACUGCGAGCGUGACGGCGCGAGCAGGUGCGAAAGCAGGUCAUAGUGAUCCGGUGGUUCUGAAUGGAAGGGCCAUCGCUCAACGGAUAAAAGGUACUCCGGGGAUAACAGGCUGAUACCGCCCAAGAGUUCAUAUCGACGGCGGUGUUUGGCACCUCGAUGUCGGCUCAUCACAUCCUGGGGCUGAAGUAGGUCCCAAGGGUAUGGCUGUUCGCCAUUUAAAGUGGUACGCGAGCUGGGUUUAGAACGUCGUGAGACAGUUCGGUCCCUAUCUGCCGUGGGCGCUGGAGAAUUGAGGGGGGCUGCUCCUAGUACGAGAGGACCGGAGUGGACGCAUCACUGGUGUUCGGGUUGUCAUGCCAAUGGCAUUGCCCGGUAGCUAAAUGCGGAAGAGAUAAGUGCUGAAAGCAUCUAAGCACGAAACUUGCCCCGAGAUGAGUUCUCCCUGACUCCCUGAGAGUCCUGAAGGAACGUUGAAGACGACGACGUUGAUAGGCCGGGUGUGUAAGCGCAGCGAUGCGUUGAGCUAACCGGUACUAAUGAACCGUGAGGCUUAACCUUACAACGCCGAAG